rnacentral:rRNA from 1 species
CAACAGGGAUUGCCCUAGUAACGGCGAGUGAAGCGGCAACAGCUCAAAUUUGAAAUCUGGCUCUCGGGCCCGAGUUGUAAUUUGUAGAGGAUACUUUUGAUGCGGUGCCUUCCGAGUUCCCUGGAACGGGACGCCAUAGAGGGUGAGAGCCCCGUCUGGUUGGAUGCCAAAUCUCUGUAAAGUUCCUUCAACGAGUCGAGUAGUUUGGGAAUGCUGCUCUAAAUGGGAGGUAUAUGUCUUCUAAAGCUAAAUACCGGCCAGAGACCGAUAGCGCACAAGUAGAGUGAUCGAAAGAUGAAAAGCACUUUGAAAAGAGAGUUAAAAAGUACGUGAAAUUGUUGAAAGGGAAGCGUUUAUGACCAGACUUGGGCUUGGUUAAUCAUCUGGGGUUCUCCCCAGUGCACUUUUCCAGUUCAGGCCAGCAUCAGUUUUCCCCGGGGGAUAAAGACUUCGGGAAUGUGGCACUCUUCGGGGUGUGUUAUAGCCCGUUGUGUAAUACCCUGGCGGGGACUGAGGUUCGCGCAUCUGCAAGGAU